rnacentral:rRNA from 1 species
CAAAUUUGAAAUCUGGCUCCUUGGGGGUCCGAGUUGUAAUUUGUAGAGGAUGCUUCGGGUGCGGCACCGGUCUAAGUCCCUUGGAACAGGGCGUCAUAGAGGGUGAGGAUCCCGUAUGUGACCGGCGACCAAGCCCAUGUGAAGCUCCUUCGACGAGUCGAGUUGUUUGGGAAUGCAGCUCAAAAUGGGUGGUAAAUUUCAUCUAAAGCUAAAUACCGGCCAGAGACCGAUAGCGCACAAGUAGAGUGAUCGAAAGAUGAAAAGCACUUUGGAAAGAGAGUCAAAAAGUACGUGAAAUUGUUGAAAGGGAAGCGCUUGUAACCAGACCUGCCGUCGGGGGCUCCGCGGGCAUUCUUGCCCGUUUACUCUCCCGCGAUCAGGCCAGCAUCGGUUUUGGCGGCCGGAUAAAGACUCGAGGAAUGUAGCUUCGCUUCGGGGAAGUGUUAUAGCCUCUUGUGCAAUACGGUCAGCCGGGACCGAGGACCGCGCUUCGGCUAGGAUGCUGGCGUAAUGGUUGCAAGCGACCCGUCUUGAAACACGGACCAAGGAGUCUAACAUCUAUGCGAGUGUUUGGGUGUCAAACCCAUGCGCGGAAUGAAAGUGAACGGAGGUGGGAACCCCUAAGGGCGCACCAUCGACCGAUCCGGAAGUUUACGGAUGGAUUUGAGUAUGAGCAUAGCUGUUGGGACCCGAAAGAUGGUGAACUAUGCCUGAAUAGGGUGAAGCCAGAGGAAACUCUGGUGGAGGCUCGCAGCGGUUCUGACGUGCAAAUCGAUCGUCAAAUUUGGGUAUAGGGGCGAAAGACUAAUCGAACCAUCUAGUAGCUGGUUCCUGCCGAAGUUUCGUAAGUUCUUCUGAGGACCACCCCCGAAUGAGUUCUUGCUAACAAUCUCAACAGCCUCAGGAUAGCAGUAACGUUUUCAGUUUUAUGAGGUAAAGCGAAUGAUUAGAGGUCUGGGGGAUGAAACAUCCUUCACCUAUUCUCAAACUUUCAAUAUGUAAGAAGUCCUUGUUACUUAGUUGAACGUGGACAUUUGAAUGCACCGUUACUAGUGGGCCAUUUUUGGUAAGCAGAACUGGCGAUGCGGGAUGAACCGAACGUGGGGUUAAGGUGCCGGAAUGUACGCUCAUCAGACACCAAGGGGACGACUUGUGGUGUCCUGCCGGGGGGAUAGACCCCCCGGCAUUAGUCUGCGAAAGGCGAGGUCUUUGACCUGUAGGGGCCGGCGGUCGCUCCGGCGAUGGCUUACCCUCUGCUGUCCCAUGACCGGGGCAGCUCACAGAUCAAGCAAAGGCCGGCGGCAGUACGCCGUUGGAGAUAUGAUCGGCCCCCGAAGG